CAGUAGUAUGCUGUUUUUAAGUUCUUUGGGUAUAGACCGAGGAGAGGGUUAGCUGGGUCAAAUGGUGGUUCCAUUCCCAGAUUUCCAAGGAACCUCCAUACUGCUUUCCAUAUUGGCUGCACCAAUUUGCAGUCCCAACAGUAAUGUAUGUGCCUUUUUUCCCACAUCCUCACAACACUUAUUGUUUCUUGUAUUCUUAAUAACUGCCAUUCUGACUGGAGGGAGAUGAAAUCUUAGAGUAGUUUUGAUUUGCAUUUCUCUAAUUGCUAGAGAUGUUGAACAUUUUUUCAUAUAUUUGUUGAUUGAUUGAAUAUCAUCUUCUGAGAAGUGUCUGUUCAUUUCCUUGGCCUAUUUAUUGAUUGGGUUAUUUGUUAUUUUAAAAUAUUGUUUUAGUUGUCAAUGGACCUUUAUUUAUUUAUAUGUAGUGCUGAGAAUUGAACACAGUGCCUCACACAUGCUAGCUAGGUAAGCGCUCUACCACUGAGCCACAACCCCAGCCUAGGUUAUUUGUUUUUUUAGUGAUAAGUUUUUUCAGUUCUUUAUAUCCUGGAGAUUAGUGUUCUAUCUGAUGUGCAUGUGGUAAAAAUUUGCUCCCAUUCUGUAAGCUCUCUAUUCACCUUACUGAUUGUUUCCUUUUAGUUUGAAACCAUCCCAUUUAUUGAUUCUUGAUUUUAUUUCUUGUGCUUUAGGAGUCUUUUUAAAGAAGUAGGGGCCUAAUCUGACAUGAUAAAGAUCUGGGCUCACUCUUUCUUCUAUUAGAUGCAGGGAGGGUCUCUGGCCUAAUUCCUAGGUACUGGUUCCACUUUGAGUUGAGUUGUGUGCAUGGUGAGAGAUAGGGGUUUAAUUUCAUUUUGCUACAUGUGGAUUUCAAUUUUUCCCAGCACCAUUUGUUGAAGAGGCUGUAUUUUCUCCAAUAUAUGUUUUUGGCACCUUUGUCUAGUGUGAGCUAACUGUAUUUAUGUGGGUUUGUCUCUCUAUCCUCUAUUCUGUACCAUUGGUCUACAAGUCUAUUUCGGUGUGAAUACCAUGUGCUUUCUAGUAUAGUUUAAGGUCUGGUAUUUUGAUGCCACCUGCUUCAUCCUUCUUGCUAAGGAUUGCUUUGGCUAUUCUGGGUCUCUUAUUUUUCCAGAUGAAUUUCAUGAUUGCUUUUUCUAUUUCUAUGAAGAAUGUCAUUGAGAUUUUGAUUGGAAUUACAUUAAAUCUGUAUAGUGCCUUUGAUAGUGUUGGUCAUUUUGACAAUAUUAAUUCUGCCUAUCCAAGAAUAAGGGAUAUCUUUCCAUCUCCCAAGGUCUUCUUUAAUUUUUUUCUUUAGUGUUCUGUAGUUUUCAUCGUGUAGGUCUUUAACCUCUUUCAUUGAUUUCCAAGUAUUUUUUUUUUGAGGCUAUGUAAAUGGGGUAGUUUUCCUAGUUUCUCUUUAGAGGAUUUGUUACUGAUAUACAGAAAUGCAUUUGAUUUAUGGGUAUUGACUUUAUAUCCUGCUACUUUGCUGAAUUCAUUUAUUAGUUCUAGAAAUUUUCUGGUGGAAUUUUUCAGAUCCUGUAAGUAUAGAAUCAUGUUGUUGUCAAAUAGUGAUAGUUUAAGUUCUUCUUUUCCUAUCCAUUUCCCUUUAAUUUCUUUCAUCUGUCUAAUUGCUCUGGCUAGAAUUUCAAGGAUUAUGUUAAAUAGAAGUGGUAAAAGAGGUCAUUCCUGUCUUGUUCCAGUUUUUACAAGAAAUACUUUCAAUUUUUCUCCAUUUAGAAUGAUCUUGACCUGGGACUUAGCAUAGAUAGCUUUUACAAUAUUGAGAUAUGUUCCUGUUAUCCCUAGUCUUUCUAGUGAUUUGAACAUGAAGGGGUGCUGUAUUUUAUCCAAUGCUUUUUCUGCAUCUAUUGAGAUGAUCUUAUGGUUCUUAUCUUUAAGUCUAUUGAUGUGAUGAAUUACAUUUUUUUGAUUUCUGUAUGUUGAACCAACCUUGCUUUCCUGAGAUGAACCCCACUUGAUUGUGGUGUACUAUCUUUUAAAAAUGUUUUUGUAUUCAAUUUGCCAGAAUUUUAUUGAGAAUUUUUGCAUCUAUGUUCAUUAGAGAUAUUGGUCUGAAGUUUUCUUUCUUUGAUGUCUUUGUCUGGUUUGGAAUAAGGGUAAUGUUGGCUUCAUAGAAUGAGUUUGGAAGGGUUCCCUCUUUUUCUAUUUCAUGGAAUAAUUUGAGGAGUAUUUGUAUUAGUUCUUCUUUGAAGGUCUUGUACAACUCAGCUCUGAAUCCACCUGGUCCUGGACUUUUCUUGGUUGGUAGGCUUUUGAUGGUGUCCUCAUUGCUUGAAAUUGAUCUGUUUAACUUGUGUGUAUUGUUCUGAUUCAGUUUAUAUAAAUCAUAUGACUAGAAAUUUAUCAUUGUCUUCAGUAUUUUUUAUUGCAUUGCAGUACAAAUUUUCAAAAUAAUUUCUAAUUAUCUUCUGUAUUUCUGUAGUGUCUGUUGUGAUAUUUCCCUUAUCAUCAUGGAUUUAGUAAUUUGAGUUUUCUCUCUCCUCUUAGCAUGGCUAAGAAUUUAUCAAUUUUAUUUAUUUUUUCAAAGAACCAACUUUUUGUUUUGUUUUUCCAAUUGUUUCUUUUGUUUCAAUUUCAUUGAUUUCAGCUCUGAUUUUAAUUAUUUCCUGUCUUCUGCUUUUGGUGUUGAUUUGAUUUCUUCUUUUUCUAGGGCUUUGACAUGUAAUGUUUAGGUCAUUUAUUUAUUGAAUUUUCCUUCUUUUAAGGAAUGAACUCUAUGCAACGAACUUUCCUCUCAGUAAUGCCUUCAUAGUGUCCCAGAAGUUUUGAUAUGUUGUAUCAUUGUUCUUAUUUCCCUCUAAGAAUUUUUUCAUCUUCUCUUUGAUGUCUUCUGAAUUCCAUUAUUCAUUCAAUAGCAUAUUAUUUAGUCUCUAGUAUUGGAGUAGCUUCUAUUUUUUAUUUUAUCAUUGAUUUCUAAUUUCAUUCCAUUAUGAUCUGAUAGAAUGCAGGGUAAUAUCUCUACUUUUUUUGUAUUUGCUAAGAGUUGCUUUGUGGCAUAAUACCUGGUCUAUUUUAGAGAAGGAUCCAUAUGCUGCUGAGAAGAAAGUAUAUUCAUUCAUAGAUGGAUGAAAUAUUCUAUAUGUGUAUUAAAUCUAAGUUAUUGAUUGCAUUAUUGAAUUCUAUACUUUCUUUGUUUAUAUUUUGUUUGGAAGAUUUAUCCAGUGGUGAAAGAGGUAUGUUAAAGUCACCCAAAAUUAUUUUUGUGGUCUAUUUGUCUCUUGAAAUUGAGAAGAAUUUGUUUGAUGAACAUAGAUACUCCAUUGUUUGGGACAUAUAUAUUUAAAAUUAUUAUGUCUUGUUGAUGUAUGGUUCCCUUAAGCAGUAUGUAUUAUCCUUCUUUAUCCCUUUUUAUUAACUUUGGCUUGAAGUAUGCUUUAUUUGAUAUGAGGAUGGAAACUCCUGCUUAUUUCCACAGUCCAUAUGAGUGGUAUGUUUUUUCUCAACCUUUCACCUUCAGUCUGUGGAUGUCUUUUCCUAGGUAGCAUAUCGUUGGGUCCCUGUUUUUAAUCCAGUCUGCCAGUCUGUGUCUUUUGAUUGAUGAGGUUAGGUCAUUUUAGGCCAUUAACAUUCAGGGUGAUUAUUGAGACAUGAUUUGUAUUCCCAGUCAUUUUUGUUUAUUUUUGGUUUUUAACUUGACUUGGUUUCUCCAUUGAUUGUUUUUCCUUUAGUGUAAUACCUCCCUUUGCUGAUUUUCAUUGUUGUUUCUUUGUUUCCUCCUCGUGGAGCAUUUUGCCGAGGACAUUCUAUAGUGCAGACUUUCUAGUUGUAAAUUCUUUUAACUUUUGUUUAUCAUGGGAGGUUUUUAUUUUGUCAUAAAUCUAAAGCUUAAUUUUGCUGGAUAUAAGAUUCUUAGUUGGCAUCCAUUUUCUUUCAGAGCUUGGUAUAUAUUAUUUUAGUAUCUUCUAGCUUUCAGGGUCUGGGUUGAGAAAUCUGCAGAGAUCCUAAUUGGUUUCCCUCUAUAUGUGAUCUGAUUCCUUUCUCUCAUGACUUUCAAAAUUCUCUCCUUAUUCUGUAUGCUAGGCAUUUUCAUUAUUAUGUGCCUUGAUGUAGAUCUGUUGUAAUUUUGUACAUUUGGUGUCCUGUAAGCCUCUUGCAUUUGAUUUCCAGUUCAUUCUUCAUGUUUGGAAAGUUUUCUGAUAUUAUUUCAUUAAAUAGAUGGAUCAUUCCAUUGGUUUGUAUCUUUGUGCUUUCCUCUAUCCCAAUAAUUUUUAGAUUCUUUUUAUGUUGUCCCAUAAUUCUUGAAUGUUCUGCUCAUGGUUCCUUACCAUUUUCACUGUGUGGUCGAUGUCCUUUACAAGAUUAUAUAUUUUGUCUUCAUUGUCUGAGAUUCUGUCUUCCAAGUGAUCUAAUCUUUUGUUGAUGCUUUCUAUUAAGUUUUUUAAUUUGGUUUAUUGUUUCCGUCAUUUCAAGGAUUUCUGAUUUUUUUUUCAGAAUCUGUCUCCUUAUUGAAAUAAUCCUUUGCUUCCUAUAUUUGCUUAUGUAGCUCUUUAUCAAAAUGAUCUUUUACUGCCUGUAUUUGCUCUUAUGUCAUCUUUAAUUUGCAGAACGUUUUAAUUAUGUACAUCCUUAACUCAUUUUCUGAUAUUUCUUCUACUGUGCUGGCCAUGGAUUCUAAUAAUGCAGUAUCUUGGUUUGUUUGGGGCCCUUUCUUCUCUUGUUUUUUCAUGUUGUUCAUGUGUCUUCCCUUCUAGCACUGUAGAUCUGAGGUGUUACAGUUUUCACCGUAUAGGUUUAUAGUGUCCCUGCGGGGUUCCAAUACCUCUCCUUUAAAGGGGAGAUCAAUAUUAACAGAUCCCAAUACAAACAAUAUACAGCCUUAAAUCAAGUAGUUCCUAUUAAGAUGUUUACAGUUUUGUCACAAUUUAUACAAAUGGUGAGUUCACUUAUUAUCUACAAUAUAUAAACAGUAGGUUUACAAAAGGGUCUACAAUAUCUGAUGGUGGACAAAGAGAGAACAGGGCAUGGGGUGUAUGAUGAGAUAUUAAGGAGGCAGGAUGUGAGGAUAUAGAGUUAUUAGAUCUUUGGGUGCCGCAGUCUGGCUGGGCACAAUCAGGAGCCACUUGUCAAAAGAAACUAACUUUAUUUUUAGAACCACACACGCCAAACAAAACAGCCUCUCAGGAAAAACCCUCAGAGCCUCAACUGCCACCACCGGCUUUCCACAAGCCUCUCUCUCCCCCACAAGCUUCUCUCCACCUCCCACAAUCCUCCUGCUCUUGAGGCCGAUUGGCUGGGUCACGUGGGCGGAGCCAAAAAAGUCCCCCAAUGAGCAGCUCCGUGGUCUGAAAGGGCAGGGAAACAGUCCAAUGAGCAUCACCGCAGAGGAGCCAAUCAGCUAGAUGUUGCUGGGGCCGCUGUGAGCCAAUCAUCAGCCGGCAGCUGGAAGUUUGCUGGCAGCUGGAAGUUUGCUGGGGCCCCUUAGGCUGUGGCUCUCAACAUUUGGGAGCGUGAAAGAAGAAUAAAAUCAAAAGAAGUUGGCUAAUAGCAGGAGAAAAGAGAGAAAGUGAUUUUGGGGAGACAGGUAAGUGGGAAGACUAUAU
rnacentral:lncRNA from 1 species